UUCUUUCUCACUACGCUUUUUUCUGGAAAAAGAGAGAAGAACAAAACUCAGAAUGAGCCAUCUCCUCUAUCACUCUCUCGAUGCAUUCACGGUUCAAACUCAACACAAACAAACACAUCAAAAGAAAACCUAAUCCCAAAUAACCCAAUACCCCAUGAUUUCACUAUAUUCAGGAGAUUACAAAUUACAUGAUUACAAGAUUCAAACACGAAUUCAACAAAUCAACAGACAAAUGAAUCGAUUAGAAGCUCAGGUUUGUGUGUGAACAAUUUGGUGAAAGAUUUGGGACCGUUGCUGCAGGGUUUUUGUUGUUUUGGAGCAGCUUUUGGACAGAUAUGUGCAGGAUAGCAGCAAGACAGAGCAUAGAGCGUGAAGAGGAGAUGAAGAGUUAUUUUUUGUUUGACUUUUUCAUGUAAUGGGCUCAAGUAAAAAAGAAUGGGCCUAGGUUAAAAUAGAAAUAAUAAAAAAAGCACUCUUUUUUUGUUUC